rnacentral:rRNA from 1 species
UACGUAUGGUGCGAGCGUUGUCCGGAUUUACUGGGCGUGAAGGGGGCGCAGGCGGCGCGCCAAGCCCGAUGUGAAAGCCCGGGGCUCAACCCCGGGACUGCAUUGGGAACUGGCGUGCUGGAGUGCCGGAGGGGCAGGCGGAAUUCCUGGUGUAGCGGUGAAAUGCGUAGAUAUCAGGAGGAACACCGGUGGCGAAGGCGGCCUGCUGGACGGAUACUGACGCUGAGGCCCGAAAGCGUGGGUAGCGAACAGG